rnacentral:lncRNA from 1 species
UUCUCAUGGAAACGUGCACCUCAGUGCUUCCGAAUUGGUAGGGUCAGCCGCGGAUGGCAGGAAUGAUUUUAAAACCUGAGAAAAUGCACAUACAUGCACUUAAAUAUUUAUAUUUAUAAAACUGCCCUGUCACUCACUUCACCUCACUUUCUCCCACAGUCUAAUACAUAUAGAGGGGGUGAUAGCUGUCUAAACCCUGAAGGCACCAGCAAUGAGCACUUAAACACAGUCCAAAACCACCCCUACUCAGGUGAGAACAAGUAAGCUAGCUAGACUCAAAAUCAGGUGACUUGAUGUUGGGUCCUAAUUAUGACAUUUACUAGCUGUGCCAUCCUAAACAACUUAUCCUCUCUGAGAUCCAAUUUUAUCAUCUAUAAAUUAAAAAACAUUGUAUCUGCUUUACCUGCACUUUAGGAUUAUUGUGCAGAUAAGAUGGACAAACCUGUAAAGUCAUGCAUAGCAUUAUGGUAUUAACGUGUGUGGAUUAGAAACACAUUGAAAAUAGAACCUUGUAUCUUGCUUUUUUCUACAUAUCCUCAGUGAUUGCCCAUAGUAGAUAUUUAAUAAUAGGUGUUGAAUCGCAGAUGGAACUCUUAUAACGUUGGGGAAGUAACAGCAUAUCCAACCAUGAUGUCAGGAAAGGUACUAAGACGUCCUCCACCUGGGAUAACAUUUGCCACCCUUGCCUCCCCAACCUAGAUAUGUUCUGAAGGCAAUGUCUGUUUGAAAGGCAUGGCUGUGUGGGGCUUUGUGCCUUGAAAUGAAAAGCUUUGGGCUCUAUUUUAUGAUCAUUUACCAACUUUAUUCCAUCAUGUUCUCCAUUUUUUACCUCCAAACCAAGAUGCUCACCUAUACCUCUUCAAAGUUAAGAUGCAACUUCUGCCUUAGAUCAAUCAGUGGCUGUUCAAGAGCAGAGGACACUUUUAACUUUUCAAAAAGAAAAUUCUAAUGGGUGACUUAAAAACUUAAUUUCCUCAUUAAAAAAGGACCACGAAGGGGAAGUGAAAGCCAAAUACAAACCCCCACAAUAAGAGAAAAAACUGUAAAAAAUAAAAGUAAAAACAGGGAUUCAUGAAUGCAGGAAGAAAUUAAAACAAACCUGCAGGCCCUCAUAAAUACAGCAAUCAGGCAGCUCCACGCAUGCAUCCCACAUUUGAAUUUUUAUUUUAUGUGGAGUAUUUUUGUAUCUGCUUUGCCUAAAUUUGGCCUGUUACCAAAGCCUAAUGACUCUACUUUAUGUUAAGCUUUUCGAAUGAACUAAACUUAAAACUAGGAAAAAAAAAACUGUUAAUUUAUCUUGCAGGAAAAGGUGUUAUAAUUUGAAUGAAAAACAGCAAGCAGACAGAUAAAAAGGAGCUGGUACAACACUUGGGCAAUCAGUUAUGGUGUUUUGUACCUGUAGGCUGAGAAAUUGUCUCCAGUGUUGGAUGAUGUUAUUACCAUUGCCUAUUUUCACUUGUACAUUAGGUUCAAGCAUAAUCAUGCAAAAAUUUGAAUGUUCUCCACAGAUUUACUAUUUUAAUAAGCUCAUAAUGUUAAAACACUAUAUAUGUUGACAGUGGUACUUACAUUGUAUUAAGAAAACAAAUCAAAUCAUUUUCUUUAAAAUGAUAAGUAGCCUAGUUUGACCUUUCUAUAGGCACUGGUCAGUAGAAAUGAACCUCUACAAUAGUCUUCUCUCCUACCUUCCAGUCUUUUAUCCCAUCUAUCAAUAAGGACACUAUUCUCACAGACCAUGUGGACUUAUCAUUUUGGAAACUGCCCUUGUCCUAUUGAAGGCCAUGGGGCAGAGUGAGACAACAAUAAGCUAUAUUCAUGAAUAUUCAUGGCACCAAAAAUAUUUUCAGAUAUAAGAAAGCAGAUGUGGUGUCUAGUUCAUAAAUCUGGAUUAUGAAGUAAAAUCUAUGGCUAAGUGGGUGAUAUUCAAACAGCAGUAGUCAUAGCAUCCAUGCAUGAGCAAGGGGGAGAAUCAUUGGCAUAGGUAAAUUCAAGUUCAGAGGAAACUGGAGGCUGACAUUGAAUUCAACAUGGAAACAGAGAGACAGUAGUGUAUCCAAUCUCAGUAGGUCCUUUUGGGUCUCUAUUUUGAGAAAUAAUUUAAUAGCAUUUUUAAAGAUAUGGGUUCAUUGUAAAAAAAAUUGGAAAAUAUAAACAAGCAUGAAGAAAUCUAUGGUUCUAUUUCUCAGAAAUAAUCCUUGCUACUGAUUUCAGAUCUUAUUAUUCUAGGCUUCUUCCAUGCAUAUUUUAAUAGGUUCAUCUGACACAUACUGAUUUUUAAAUUGCCUUUUCCACUUAAUGUCUUGUUAAUGUCUUUUCAUGUGAUUAAAUAUUCUCCAACUGCAGUAAUACUUUAAUAGCUAUAUAAUAUUCCAUUAAGGAACACUAUGCUGCCUAUGGUUGGAUAUUUAUGUGCCUCCACAACCUAAGAUGGUAAUGAACUUACAGCGAGUUCUUUUUGAAUACCAAAGUCUGACCAUCCCCCACGCCUCACGAGACAUUUUGCAGCUUUCCUAAAGCCUCUGACUCUUGCGAAUUUAGUGACUCAGACUGUCCCAUCGACUUCUAUUUAAUUUUAAGGAUGUAUUACACACACACCGCUCAAAAAAAAGCUCCUCAAAAUAAUUGCAUCUACAUCAAUUAACAUUUUUAUUCUAUAAUUCCAUAAGGGCAUUUCAUAUAUACCUCUAUUUUCUUCUGCAACAACACCCUUAGAAUAAAUACAACACGAGAAAGUAUACACACUUAAGACGCACUGCACAAUUACUUCCACCUAAUCCAAAGACAAUUUUCAUUUAUCUAUUGAUUCACUCAAGAAAUAUUUAUUGAGCACCUAUUGUAUGACUUGCAAUGUGCCACAUGCUGAGACAGAAAUAUUUCAGAAUCUACAUUGGGUAUGUCUUGACUUCAAAGCCAAAGCCACAAGGAAAGGUUUAUGUUUUUCCUAUAUUUUCCUCAGAUAUUAAGUACAGAACCAGUACUUAAUUUAUGUUAUAUAAAGAUGUCACUCU